ensembl:scaRNA small Cajal body-specific RNA 3
AGUGGAAGCUGCAGAGUCAUUCAUGUAGACAAAUGAGAGAAUGUCUUUUGUCUGCAGAAGGCAGCAGUCCUACAUGAACAUGGAGGUCUCUCUCUGACUUAGGACAGCUGGCUAAGUCUGAUCGUUCCCCUCCAUACAAC